rnacentral:rRNA from 1 species
AGCGAACGCUGGCGGCAGGCCUAACACAUGCAAGUCGAACGGCUCCUUCGGGAUUAGUGGCGGACGCGGGAGUAACACGUGGGAACGUGCCCUUUGGUUCGGAACACCUCAGGGAAACUUGAGCUAAUACAGGAUGUGCCCUUCGGGGAACAGAUUUAUCGCACUUGGAGCGGCCCGCGUCCGUUUAACCUGUUGCGGAGGUAACAGCCGACCAAGGCGAGGAUCAGUAGCUGGUCAGAGAGGCUGCUCAGCGACACUGGGGCGGGGACCCGGCCCAGACUCCUACGGGAGGCAGCAGUGGGGGAUCCAGCGCAAUGGGGGGAAUCCUGACGCAGCCAGGCCGCGUGAAUGAUGAAGGUCUUAGGGUAGUGAAACUCUUUCAGCGGGGACGAUAAUGACGGUACCCGCAGAAGAAGCUCCGGCUAACUUCGUG